CUCAGUUUCUUUCCUUUCCUUUCCUUAAUAACAUCUUUUUCUUUCGUUAGUAUGACAUUUUAUUGCUCUUUCCCACCUGAUAAAUAGCAGAAAUUUAGUUAUGGUUCCUGGUGGUCUAGUUUGCGUGCAUCCUCAGCAUUUUAUUUUACUAACUUUGCACGUUGCGACUGAUUUUGGCUUUUAUUGAUGGUGUUUCAUAGGCACAACCCCUGAAAAUCUGCUCUCAAAUUGGCUUGUGCUCUUCCCAUGGUACUCAUGAUGUGAGGUCAGUUUCAACCUGUUGCUGUAGUGACUAGAAUAGUCCUAUUAGUUGUAAUCAUCAUUUCAACUGGUUAUAGAUAUAAAAUAUUUAUAUUUAAAAGUUGACUACCAUAAUUGAUAACUAUGAAAUGGCUACUUUUGCUUCAAUUGUUUCUGAUUAACUAUCAUUCAGUAAUAUAGGUUUUAAUCAGUAAUUAAUAUUUACUUGGAUGGUACAAUAUGAUAAUUGAAAGUGUGGUGGACAUGAACACUGAAAAGUCUUCUGGUGGUNNNN
rnacentral:lncRNA from 1 species